AAUUAAGAAAAUGUAUACAUAAGAAUCCCUAAAAUAAAUCUAAACUAAAAUUGAUAUACCUUCCAAUAAUAUGUUCUGAAUACAGCUGUUAACUGUUUAUUCUGUGUAAAUGGUGAUUGUGAUAAUGUAUGAUAAGUGUGCAGUUUAACUUGAAAGUGGUUUAAUUUAUAUGUUGCUGUAUUGUUUUAAAUUAUAUGUGAAUCAGUUUGUUACAGUCUAGUGAUACUGAUAAGAAUGACAACCAAAUAACCUAGCAAAUAACUGUUUUAUUAGUUGUUGAAUACUAGCGUUUUGGCCAAGAAUAGUUGGAGAUUUG